rnacentral:rRNA from 1 species
UACAGAGGGGGCAAGCGUUGUUCGGAAUUACUGGGCGUAAAGGGCGCGUAGGCGGCCUUCUAAGUCGAACGUGAAAUCCCUGGGCUCAACCCAGGAACUGCGUCCGAUACUGGAAGGCUUGAAUCCGGGAGAGGGAUGCGGAAUUCCAGGUGUAGCGGUGAAAUGCGUAGAUAUCCGAAGGAACAUCAGUGGCGAAAGCGGCUUCCUGGACCAGAACUGACGAUCAGGCACGAAAGCGUGGGGAGCAAACAGG